GACUGCGGAGGAUCAUUAUUGAAUAAACCUGAUGGGUUGUUGCUGGUUCUCUAGGGAGCAUGUGCACGCCUUGUCAUCUUUAUAUCUCCACCUGUGCACUUUUGNANACCUCUCANGGCUAUGUUGCUUCAUUUACCCNAUGUAUGUUAAUAGAAUGUUGUGCCUUUAUUAAUAUAUACAACUUUCANCAACGGAUCUCUUGGCUCUCGCAUCGAUAAANAAAGCANCGAAAUGCGAUAAGUAAUGUGAAUUGCANAAUUCAGUGAAUCAUCNAAUCUUUGAACGCACCUUGCGCUCCUUGGUAUUCCGAGNANNNUGCCUGUUUGAGUGUCAUUAAUAUAUCAAUCUUCUCUUCUUGAGUGGUUUGGAUGGUGGGGGUUUGCUGUGCCUCUUGAANGUUUCANCUCCCCUGAAAUGCAUUANCANAANAAAACCUGUNCNUUGGNGUGANAACUAUCUACNCUGUUGAAUGUAAGGGCAGUUCAGCUUUCUUAACGGUCUUUGGACAAUUUAUCAUUAAUGUGACCUCAAAUCANGUAGGACUACCCGCUGAACUUAA
rnacentral:misc_RNA from 1 species